AUCUUCUAUAUCUGCCCCUUUAUACGCAAUAAAUCCGGUUUUAUUAUUAUUAGAGGCCAUGUCUCUGACGUGGAACUGAACACUGUAGCAUAAUAAGAACAGGGCUCAUGUGUUUUUGUGCCUAAUGGCCUGUGAUUUUUCUGCCCCAUUGCAGCUAGGAGAAAAGCAGCCUAAUUUCCAGUGAAAAGCAAAGCUGAAUUCUGUUCCCUGAUUGGUUGCACUGUCGGUUCUUCAUAUGAGAGUCAUGCCUAAACACACACACACAGAGAAAGUUUAGAAAAUGUCUGUCUAACCUCAACUCUAUCUCUCUAGCUCUCUAAGCUACCAAUCUCAAAUGAAGAACAUUGCCGAGUGCUACGACUUAACAUGGAGUUCAGAGGCGGGUUUGCACAACAAACAGAUGUUCUUUGAUGUCAGCUGCAGUGAGGGGGUGGCAAAAAAUGGGAACGCUAAAAAGAAGUAGGAAGGUGUCAGAACUCUAAUCACCAUGCAGCGUUUGGAAAGAAAAUCUAUUAUAUUUCUUAGCACAAACACAGGCUUUGAGUCACAGUUACAACGCCGGCUUGCUGAUCCAGAGACAAUGGAUGGAAGUUGCAGUUGCUCGCCCCGAGGCACUGUCAUUUGAAGUUGAGAAAGAGCUGUAAGAUGUGGAAAUGACCUCUGAAGAUCAAACAAGUAUCCCUUUCCACUGUGUUACAAGGAAAGAGGAAGAAAUGACAUGCUGAGACAUCAGUCCAGUCAAAAAAAAAAAAAAUGCUCAAAGGUGUGAAGAGAGCGCCUCGGUUAGGAAGUUGCAGUGUGAAGGGGGCAGAGACGGAAAAAAGGAAGGGUGUGAGGUAAGACGGUUGACUCAAAUCAGACGGCAGCAGAGGCCAGGCCUGGUCAUACUCUAUACAGCUCGAGGUUUUCUGGACCUGCUGUGCUUAGAGGGGAAAGCACGCCACAUUCUGCUGCAUUCCAUCCACACAUGUCUCAAAUCAGCACUGGACACCAGCUCCAAAUCAGAGUUUAAGCCAGAUAAUGUGAAGUUAGCAGAUGAAGGAAAACUGGGAGAGGAUCAUAAAUGGCUUUUAAAUAGUACUAAAACUUUACCCCAUAUCCACUGACAGAGCUCUAUCCAAUCUGGCCAUAUUAUGCACAUUUUCUACAAAAGGUCGUUCUGGGCUGAAAACAUUUGGAUUAAAAGUGAAGUGUGUCUGAAAAUACCUAUUUGUUUUGCUGCUGCCA